AGACGACUCUCGGCAACGGAUAUCUCGGCUCUUGCAUCGAUGAAGAACGUAGCGAGAUGCGAUACGUGGUGUGAAUUGCAGAAUCCCGUGAACCAUCGAGUCUUUGAACGCAAGUUGCGCCCGAGGCCACUCGGCCGAGGGCACGCCUGCCUGGGCGUCACGCCCCCGUUCGCUCCCUCAAGGCACGCCCUGCCUCGGGGAUGCGGAGAUUGGCCGCCCGUUGCGCGAAUCGAAGGCGAGCGGUUGGCCCAAAUGCAGGUCAAAGUGCGGUGCGGCACGACGCGCGUUGGUUCAGUCGCGCGGCUGAUCGCUGGUCGGUCGCCGCGCCCGUGUCAUGCCGCUCGCGGUGCGACCCGUGGGACGCAACUUGCCCGCUGCGGCGGGCACUCGGACCGCGACCCCAGGUCAGGCGGGACCACCCGCUGAGUUUAAGCAUAUCAAUAAGCGGAGGAGAAGAAACUUACGAGGAUUCCCCUAGUAACGGCGAGCGAACCGGGAGCAGCCC
rnacentral:rRNA from 1 species